rnacentral:rRNA from 1 species
CAAUAGCGUAUAUUAAAGUUGUUGCGGUAAAAAGCUCGUAGUUGGAUUUCUGUUGAGGACGACCGGUCCACACCACGUGUGCGCAUCUGGCUCGGUCUCGGCAUCCUCUCGAUAGACGUUUCUGCGCUUGAUUGCGUGGUGCGGAUUUCGGGACUUUUACUUUGAGGAAAUUAGAGUGUUCACGGCAGGCUAUCGCCAGAAUACGUUAGCAUGGAAUAAUACUAUAGGAUCUCGGUUCUAUUUUGUUGGUUGUUCGAGAACCGAAGUAAUGAUUGAUAGGGACAGUUGGGGGGCAUCAGUAUUCUGAAGCGAGAGGUGAAAUUCUUGGACCUUCGG